UCUACACUACCCUUAUCUUCCUCAGCAUAUCUCCCUAGCCAUUUUCUAAAAUUCUUUGUUCAAAAACUUCAGUUUCCUAAGUCCCAAUCCUUCAUCCUUUAAAGGACGACAUGUUAAAUCUUAAUAAGUUAGUAAUACUUGAAUUCAUUCUCAAUACAAAGUGAGUAGUGAUGUAGGAAGAAGAAAAAUGAAGAAGGACAGAAGAAUAAACCUGGGAUUAUGGGUGUGCAAUUUACCUGCCAAUCCACCCCCCAACCCAAUCCAACCUGCUACCUGUAGUUUAAGAAAGGUUAUUCUCUUGAAAGUAUCAGUAUUGACAUCUUGGAUAGGGAUAGAGCUCAUCUAUUGUAGUACCUAUGCAGCUAUGCUACUUAAAAACAUUAUUUAUCGGAUCUCCAUUAUUGAUGGUUGUGGUUAUUGUUAGUAUGGUGUUGAACAUCAUUGGGUUGUUGGGCUUUGUUGUUAACAGGAAUCACAAAAUUUCGGGACGAAAUUUCCUUAAGGGGGGAAGAUUGUAACAUUCUGUUGUAGGAGACCGCUUGAGCAAUCAAGUGGUCGCUCGAGUGGUGAUUCGAGGCUCCUAGUAUCUUGCCUGUUUACAGGCGAGACCGCUUGAGCAGUCAAGUCUUCACUUAAGCGUAGAUGUGAGGCUCCCAGUACUUUCAUUGCAGACCUGCAAAACUUCUGUAACAUUGUAUUUACCGGUAGAGCAAUGAAGUGUUUCGCUCGAGCAGUAUGUUCGAAAUCUCUUCAUCACUCCCAUUCUUGCAGUCUUCAUAGACGACAGAUACAUUUUUGAAGUAGAGAGGAGGUAGAGGAAUAAACUGCAAUAUGAGCAAUCAAAACUACCAGCAAUUUUUCUGCUUAAGUGGUGAUGUCUAUGGAUGACAGUGUGGUUUAAGGGUUCUUUAAUUUUGAAGUUCUAUUUCUUUCUUUCCGCUCUCCCAAAGCUCAAUGUUUGAUACAUUCAUUUAUCUGCUCUGCCCCAACUACUGCUAUCCUUGGGAAACCAAAAGAGCUUCCGAAGGAUGGUAUCAACUCUUUCAAUCAUUUUUUACUGCGUCCGGUGAAGUAAAUGUUGCAUCUGAUUUAAAGAAAUGUUGCAUCUUGUUGAAGACCGAAAGAAGGUUUGAUGAAUCUAGAUAUGAAGUGGCUUGAUGAUUCUGUAUUGUUGUUGUUUCCUUGGUUCUGGUCGUGCUGCUUCUUUUAUCAAACUCUAUUUGCUUUUGUGCACGUGUCACAUAUAAAAGCUCAAUCGUAAAUUGACUGGUUUUAUGCUGAUGCUACUGUUGUUGCUGCUUUGGCUUUCUAGCCUUUCUGUGCAGCUAUUGCUAUCUUCUCAUGGUCUGUAUGUUGUAUCUGUUGCACAUCUGUUCAUGUCAGAUGUAAACGAGGCCUAGAUUGACUAAAUGGUAUUGUCCUAAUCUUUUGCUUGCUUAGAUGAUUCCCAUCCUUGUUUGUGUUGUCCGUGUAUGCUCCUUGUACUAUGUAUUUACUUUUGAUCUUUGGUAUAUAUUGACUUACCCAAAAAAAAUGAUGUUUUGUUCAUCAAAUAAUUUGAGUGUUGAAAUUUGAUUCAUAUUGUUUGGCUUCAGUUGCAGUCAGCAUAUUUUCACAUUUUGCAGCAGUAGAGAGUGAGUAAGUGAUGACAGACUAAAGAUUGAAGUAUCUAAGAAUUACAAGUUCUGCCGAGGGGAUGUCCACCUAGAGAAUUUUUUUCUAAAAGAGAAGGGUGAAAAGAUUUCACCUUCUAAACUCAAAUCAUAUGAACAAUGUUACUGUAUAAAUUAGUAAUUAUGUGCCUGAAAUGGCAAAGGAAACUAGAGAAUACUUCGUAAUCUUUCAACAGCCUCCUCAGCCCUGCCUACUAUGAGUUUGAGUCUUUCUGUCAAAACAAAUCGAGCCAAUAAACAUUGAAUACUAACCCUGUGACUAUAAUUACAGUGAGCGCAAUCUCAUAUGAUGAAAGAUUCAUUACAUAGAUUAAUGGUUCUAGGUAGUUCUAAUCUAAAAAUCAAGAAUGAAGCUCUCUUGAUUAAGUGGUGGUGCAGGUUUGCAUCUGAGCCAAAUCUCCUUUGGAAAAGAGUGGUUUGUGAAAAGAUAAAUUGGGACAAGAGAUGGGAUAUUUCAUUUCUUAAACGAUAAUGCAGUUUUUUUUUCCCCUGAACAUGUCCCCAAUAAUGUGCUUACUAAAAUUGGGAAAUGGAAUGAGAUUUCUCUUUUUGUUUGAUAAAUGGGUGUCUGAUGUAACAAAGAUGGUCUCAUUAAUGAUUUCAUCAUUAUGAGUAUGUCAUAGAGGAAGAUUUUCUUGGUAUGGGAGGAGGAGGACCAUCAUAGGUUGUUGCAAAUGCUGCCAAAGGUUGAUCAGGUUAAUGCCAAUCAAUGGAUCAGUUAAUUUUGAGAGUGGAUCCAUCAGGUAACUUCUCACUAAAAUCUUUACAAAACCUGUUUACCUCAUCUCAAUGUUGUAUUAUUCCUACAAUAGAGUUUGUGGAAAAGCAUUGCCCCUUUGGAAUUGUUGUUUUUGCUUGGCUAGUCCGGCGCAAAAGGAUUACCAUUUGUGAUCUUUUGAUUAAAAUGAAUUCUCUGGAUGAAUCCUGUUCUAGGCUCUGUUAAUAUUUGUGCGAAUGAGUUACCAUGUAGAAGAUCUUUGAAAAUUUGGGGUGAUUGUUUGUCUUGGUGGGGAAUGGAAUGAGUUUGUUUUUCAUCAGUUAGUGUGCCUUACUUGAUUGGUGGUUUGGAAUAAAAUUCAAGAAUGUCAAAAAGCUCUUAUGGGAGGCUAUAAUCAUCCAUGACAGUUUUUUGGACCAUUUGGAAAACCAGAAAUAACCUUAUCUUCAAUAAUGGUUUAGCUUCUUGGGAAAAUGUCUUGGUGUUAAUUAAAGAGAAAGUUGCAACUCAGGUAAAAGGAUAUUGAAAUAUCCCUUGCUAUUCAGUUGCUGAUUUAAUCUUAAAGAUGAAAGAAGUCAGAGGCCUACACUUCCCUUUAAAAGGUGAAGGACUUCUGUGAUUUUCAAGUUUUCCCUGGACAAGGAUUUGCUCGGUUCUCUUUGUUCUUAGUGGUGUUAAUGGCGAUUCAGCUUUGGAUGAUGAUAAGGACUGAUUCAAUAUUGGAAGAUGGAUGAGAGUGGGAAUGGAAUGCAAGAUGGCGUGGAAUGAAAUACUCAUUCUCACUCUGCUGGUUGGUUUCUAACAUUGAAUGACGCGGAAAAAUGGACACUUGUUAAGCUACUGUAGUGGAAUGAAAAUUCUAAACCAAAACACUGUUCAAAGAAAAAAAUUCUAAACCAAAACUGAUUUAUACUAUUAGGAAUUGAAAACAAUACUUACACAAACUUUCUUCUACAGAAAAAGGAGUACCUAAAAAUUGAGUUGGUUGGAUUAGUUGAGAUUAAAAAUCUUACGCUUGAAUGGUUAAAAAAUCCAAAUAAAUGAGUUAUUUAUCUCGUGUGGACUCAGCUAAUGUCUGGUUGGUUUUGUGGCUCAUUUUUGUUACUAAUGUUCCCCAUAUAUCAGUGACCAGGUUUUGAGAAUUGACUUUCAAAAGGUCAUAAACAUGAAGGAAGGAAACUCACAGAAAUCAUCCAAAGUUUUGGACCUCAGCAUCAUCGAGAAACUUAACUAGUUGCUGUCUUGGCAGCCACUAUGAGGCAUUUGGCUCAACUGCGUGUAUGUCAUUCAUGGUUCUGCUUUGCAUUGUUCAGAAAGGCUUUUUUGGUUUUCAUGGUUAAUUGAGAGCCGUCAAAAUAGUGUAAUUUUUUUUUUAAUUUUAAAUUCUGACGCUUCACCUUUAUUUCAGUACUAAUUUUACCAUCUAUUUUAUCACCUUCAGUUUCUUUUUCAAGCAGUUCAUUGAGAGUCUGAGCUAGAUAGAUAAUGCCAUUGAGACUUGGGUUUUCUCUUUUCCAUGUAAAUUGUAAAAGUAAAUUUCUAGCUUGUAUACUGUUGUGACAUGUGGUGUUUAUCCAA